UACAGAGGGUGCAAGCGUUGUUCGGAAUUAUUGGGCGUAAAGAGUGCGUAGGCGGUUUUCUAAGUUUGGUGUGAAAUCUCCCGGCUUAACUGGGAGGGUGCGCCGAAGACUGGAAGGCUUGAGUAUGGGAGAGGUAAGCGGAAUUCCUGGUGUAGCGGUGAAAUGCGUAGAUAUCAGGAGGAACACCUGCGGUGUAGACGGCUUACUGGACCAUAACUGACGCUGAGGCACGAAAGCGUGGGUAGCAAACAGG
rnacentral:rRNA from 1 species